CUCUCCAAAGCCUAGGGAUUGGCCAGUGAACUCUUGUGCCUUAGAACCAGUGAGGUUGGACACAAGAAGUUCUGGAUCACGGCCUAAACUGGUGCAGCAACUCCACAAGACUUUGCGCACUCAACAACUCAGCUUCACCUCUUCAUGGAACUGGUUUGAGGUCUCCCCCUCUCAACUGACUUCACAGCCUUCUUAGAGAAGCUAGGACACGACCAGAUCAUCUUCACAACACUAGUGAGGCUGAUCAACACUUCACACACGGCUUGCCCUCUUCAUAGAACUGGUUUGGAUAUCCC
rnacentral:lncRNA from 1 species